GAUGAACGCUAGCGGCAGGCUUAACACAUGCAAGUCGAGGGGCAGCGGGGACUUCGGUCCGCCGGCGACCGGCAAACGGGUGCGGAACACGUACGCAACUUACCCUUAUCUGGGGGAAUAGCCCGGUGAAAACCGGAUUAACACCUCAUGGUAUUAUUGAGAGGCAUCUUUUGGUAAUUAAAAAUUUAUUGGAUAAGGAUGGGCGUGCGUAAGAUUAGGUAGUUGGUGAGGUAACGGCUCACCAAGCCGACGAUCUUUAGCUGAUGUGAGAGCAUGAUCAGCCACACGGGCACUGAGACACGGGCCCGACUCCUACGGGAGGCAGCAGUGAGGACUAUUGGUCAAUGGGCGGAAGCCUGAACCAGCCAUGCCGCGUGAAGGACGAAGGCGUUCUGCGUUGUAAACUUCUUUUAUAAGGGAAGAAACCUACGAUUUCUAUUGUAGCCGACGGUACCUUAUGAAUAAGCACCGGCUAACUCCGUGCCAGCAGCCGCGG
rnacentral:rRNA from 1 species